ACGAACGCUGGCGGCAGGCCUAACACAUGCAAGUCGGACGAGAAGGUUCCUUCGGGAACUGGAGAGUGGCGCACGGGUGAGUAACGCGUGGGGACCUACCUCUUAGUGGGGGAUAACGGUUGGAAACGACCGCUAAUACCGCAUACGCCCUUCGGGGGAAAGAUUUAUCGCUAAGAGAUGGACCCGCGUUGGAUUAGAUAGUUGGUAAGGUAAUGGCUCACCAAGUCAGCGAUCCAUAGCUGGUUUGAGAGGAUGGAUCAGCCACACUGGGACUGAGACACGGCCCAGACUCCUACGGGAGGCAGCCAGUGGGGGAACUAUCGGACAAUGGGGGGCAAACCCUGAUCCAGCCAUGCCGCGUGAGUGAAGAAGGCCUUCGGGUUGUAAA
rnacentral:rRNA from 1 species